ACGGCAGCACGGGAGCAAUCCUGGUGGCGAGUGGCGAACGGGUGAGUAAUGCAUCGGAACGUGCCCAGUCGUGGGGGAUAACGCAGCGAAAGCUGCGCUAAUACCGCAUACGAUCUAUGGAUGAAAGCGGGGGACCGUAAGGCCUCGCGCGAUUGGAGCGGCCGAUGUCAGAUUAGGUAGUUGGUGGGGUAAAGGCUCACCAAGCCAACGAUCUGUAGCUGGUCUGAGAGGACGACCAGCCACACUGGGACUGAGACACGGCCCAGACUCCUACGGGAGGCAGCAGUGGGGAAUUUUGGACAAUGGGCGCAAGCCUGAUCCAGCAAUGCCGCGUGCAGGAAGAAGGCCUUCGGGUUGUAAACUGCUUUUGUACGGAACGAAACGGUCUGGGUUAAUACCCUGGGCUAAUGACGGUACCGUAAGAAUAAGCACCGGCUAACUACGUGCCAGCAGCCGCGGUAAUACGUAGGGUGCAAGCGUUAAUCGGAAUUACUGGGCGUAAAGCGUGCGCAGGCGGUUUUGUAAGACAGGCGUGAAAUCCCCGGGCUCAACCUGGGAAUUGCGCUUGUGACUGCAAGGCUGGAGUGCGGCAGAGGGGGAUGGAAUUCCGCGUGUAGCAGUGAAAUGCGUAGAUA
rnacentral:rRNA from 1 species